rnacentral:lncRNA from 1 species
UGGAGGUUCCCAGGCUAGGGGUCUAAUUGGAGCUGUAGCCACCGGCCUACGCCAGAGCCACAGCAACUCGGGAUCCGAGCCGCGUCUGCAACCGACACCACAGCUCACGGAAACGCCGGAUGGUUAACCCACUGAGCAAGGGCAGUGACCGAACCCGCAACUUCAUGGUUCCUAGUCGGAUUCGUUAACCACUGCGCCACGACAGGAACUCCCUGAUUUUUUUUUUUUUUUUUUACUUUAUCGAGUCAUAACUUACUUAACCUACAAUUUGCCCAUGUAAAGUAUACAAUUCAAUGGCUUUUUUUGACUUCUCCUUUGCAUUCAUAACUUGGCUAAGUGUUUGGCACCAGAGCCCUAGGUUUCAGCCUAUCUUGGCUUUAGACAUGCCUUCCUAACUAAUCUUCAUUUCUGGCUUUUGAUUGAAAGUGAGAAUUAUGCAAACUCUUUCUUUUACUUGAACACAGGGUUAUUAACUGGCCUAAUUUCAAUAUUGUUCUCAGGGAAUAGGGAGGCUGGAGGAGAGGGAGGGAGAUAGGGAACAACCAGUUGGGGGAGAGGUUAGAACACACACAUUUAUCCACUGAGUGUGUCGUUUUAUAAGGGCAUGUUUCAUGGUGCCCCCAAACAAUAAGUAACAUCAAAGGUAAACUAAUCGCAGAUCACAAUAACCAAUAUAAUAAUCAUGAAAAAGUCUGAAAUAAUCACCAAAAUGUGACACAGAGACAGGAAGUGAGCAAAAUGCUGUUGGCAAAAAUGACACCAGGAGACUGGCUUAAGGUAAAAUCACCACAAACCUUCAACUUGUAAAAAAUUCAGUAUCUGUGAUGCACAGAAAGUGAAGCAUGAUAAAAUGAAGUAUGCCUGUAUUUUCACUGCCCUGAGUAUCUUAAAAUCCUAAAAAAUGUGUUCUUCUUCUUCGUUCCUCCUUCCCCCAAGCCCCUGGCAACUACUGGUCUUUUUACUUUCUCCACAGUUUUGCAUUUUCCAGGACAAAGUUGGAGUCAUACAGUAUAGAGCCAUUUCAGACUGACUUCUUCCACUUAGUAAUAUGCAUUAGAGGUUCCUCCAUGAUUUUUCAUGGCUUGAUAGUUCAUAUUCUUUUAGCACCAAAUAAUAUUCUAUCAUAUAGAGGUCACCAGUUUUUUCAUCCACUCACCUCCUGAAGAACAUCUUAGUUGCUUCUAAGUUUUGACAAUUAUGAACAAAGCUGUUAUAAACAUUCAUGUACAGGGUUUUGAAUAGACAUAAAUUUUCAACUCAUUUGGAUAAAUACCAAGGAGUACAACUGUCGAUCCUGUGGGAAGAGUAUGUUUAGUUUUGUACACACACAAAAAACCUGCUACCACUACUAAAUGAGUGCUCCUGUUGCUCCGCAUCCUUGCCAGCAUUUGGUGCUAAUGUUUGGGUUUUCACCAUUCUCAUAAGGCAUGUAGCAGUUUCUCAUUGUCAUUUUAAUUUAUAAUUCCCUAAUGAUACAUGAUGUUGAGCAUCUUUUCAUACGCUUGUUUGUUAUCCACAAACCUCUUUGGUGAGAUGUCUGCUCAGAUCUUUUGCCCAUUUUUCUAAUCAGGUUGUUCAUUUUUUUAUUGGUAAGUCAGAGCCUUUUCAAAAAUGAAGUCAAUAAACAUGGGUUCAAAUAUUCUCAUUUUGCUGGAUUCAUUUAACUG